rnacentral:rRNA from 1 species
AGAGUUUGAUCCUGGCUCAGGAUGAACGCUAGCGGGAGGCCUAACACAUGCAAGUCGAGGGGCAGCACGUCUUCGGAUGGUGGCGACCGGCGCACGGGUGCGUAACGCGUAUGUAACUUGCCUAUAACUGGAGAAUAGCCCAAAGAAAUUUGGAUUAAUGCUCCAUAGUAUUAUUAAACUGCAUGGUUUGAUAAUUAAAGCUCCGGCGGUUAUAGAUAGACAUGCGUCCCAUUAGCUAGUUGGUGAGGUAACGGCUCACCAAGGCGACGAUGGGUAGGGGGCCUGAGAGGGUGAACCCCCACACUGGUACUGAGACACGGACCAGACUCCUACGGGAGGCAGCAGUGAGGAAUAUUGGUCAAUGGAGGCAACUCUGAACCAGCCAUCCCGCGUGAAGGAUGAAUGCCCUAGUGGUUGUAAACUUCUUUUAUAUAGGAAUAACCGUAAGUACGUGUACUUACCUGAAGGUACUAUAUGAAUAAGCAUCGGCUAACUCCGUGCCAGCAGCCGCGGUAAUACGGAGGAUGCAAGCGUUAUCCGGAUUUAUUGGGUUUAAAGGGUCCGCAGGCGGAAAGAUAAGUCAGUGGUGAAAGCCCGUAGCUCAACUACGGAACUGCCAUUGAUACUGUUUUUCUUGAGUAUGGUUGCCGUUGGCGGAAUAUAACAUGUAGCGGUGAAAUGCUUAGAUAUGUUAUAGAACACCAGUUGCGAAGGCGGCUUUCUGGAUCAACACUGACGCUGAGGCGCGAAAGUAUGGGUAGCAAAGAGGAUUAGAUACCCUCGUAGUCCAUACCAUAAACGAUGAUUGCUAGAUGUUGGAAAUUUAUUUUCAGUAUCGCAGCUAACGCAUUAAGCAAUCCGCCUGGGGAGUACGACCGCAAGGUUAAAACUCAAAUGAAUUGACGGGGACCCGCACAAGCGGUGGAGCAUGUGGUUUAAUUCGAAGAUACGCGCAGAACCUUACCAACCCUUGACAUGUCUGUCGCGAGUUUAGGAAACUAGACUUUUCGGUUCGGCCGGACAGAACACAGGUGCUGCAUGGCUGUCGUCAGCUCGUGUCGUGAGAUGUUGGGUUAAGUCCCGCAACGAGCGCAACCCCUACUUUUAGUUGCCAUCAGGUCAUGCUGGGCACUCUGAAAGAACUGCCAGUGAUAAGCUGGAGGAAGGUGGGGAUGACGUCAAGUCCUCAUGGCCCUUACGGGUUGGGCUACACACGUGCUACAAUGGUAGUGACAAUGAGAUGCAAGGUGGCGACGCUAAGCUAAACUCAAAAAUCUACCUCAGUUCGGAUUGCACUCUGCAACUCGAGUGCAUGAAGCUGGAAUCGCUAGUAAUCGUAGAUCAGCGUGCUACGGUGAAUACGUUCCCGGGUCUUGUACACACCGCCCGUCACACCAUGGAAGUUGGUUCUACCUUAAAGCAGAUUGCUAACCGCAAGGAGGCGUUUGACCAAGGUAUAGUCAGCGACUGGGGUGAAGUCGUAACAAGGUAACC